UAGGGAAUCUUCGGCAAUGGGGGCAACCCUGACCGAGCAACGCCGCGUGAGUGAAGAAGGUUUUUCGGAUCGUAAAGCUCUGUUGUAAGUCAAGAACGGGUGUGAGAGUGGAAAGUUCACACUGUGACGGUAGCUUACCAGAAAGGGACGGCUAACUACGUGCCAGCAGCCGCGGUAAUACGUAGGUCCCCGAGCGUUGUCCGGAUUUAUUGGGCGUAAAGCGAGCGCAGGAGGUUUGAUAAGUCUGAAGUUAA
rnacentral:rRNA from 1 species